rnacentral:rRNA from 1 species
ACGCUGGCGGCACGCCUAAUACAUGCAAGUCGAACGAAGUAGCAAUACUUAGUGGCAGACGGGUGAGUAACAUGUGGGUAUCUUCCCUUUGGUGAGGAAUAACACGAGGAAACUUGUGCUAAUACCUCAUAAGUCUUUACGGAGAAAGCUUUAUGCGCCAAUGGAUGAGCCCGCACUUGAUUAGUUUGUUGGUGAGGUAAUGGCUCACCAAGACUUUGAUCAAUAGCUGAUUUGAGAGGAUGAUCAGCCACAUUGGGACUGAGACACGGCCCAAACUCCUACGGGAGGCAGCAGUAGGGAAUCUUGCACAAUGGGGGAAACCCUGAUGCAGCGAUGCCGCGUGAGUGAAGAAGGCCUUUGGGUUGUAAAGCUCUUUCGUCGGGGAAGAAAAUGACUGUACCCGAAUAAGAAGGUCCGGCUAACUUCGUGCCAGCAGCCGCGGUAAUACGAAGGGACCUAGCGUAGUUCGGAAUUACUGGGCUUAAAGAGUUCGUAGGUUGUUAAAAAAGUUGGUGGUGAAAUCCCAGAGCUUAACUCUGGAACUGCCAUCAAAACUUUUUAGCUAGAGUUUGAUAGAGGAAAGCAGAAUUUCUAGUGUAGAGGUGAAAUUCGUAGAUAUUAGAAAGAAUACCAAUUGCGAAGGCAGCUUUCUGGAUCAUUACUGACACUGAGGAACGAAAGCAUGGGUAGCGAAGAGGAUUAGAUACCCUCGUAGUCCAUGCCGUAAACGAUGUGUGUUAGACGUUGGAAAUUUAUUUUCAGUGUCGCAGCGAAAGCAAUAAACACACCGCCUGGGGAGUACGACCGCA